UCAAUAAAAAAUGUUGUUUUGUUAAUCUGUGUUAUCAUUCAUACUCAAAUAUUUAUUACUUUUAACUGAACCAAUGUUUCAAGAAAAAAAAAAUGUUUAAUAAUAGUUAUUUUCUGUAUUUAAAAUAACCAAUAGUUUAAUCUCAAUAAAAUUUAAAAAUAGUAUUGUAACUGCAAGUGAAGAUACAGUGCACUAAGAAAACUUACAGCAAGCUUGACACUAUCGAACCUUUUAAAAGCAAAACUUUAGAGGUGCAGAAAAUGUACAAUUUCAUAUAGAAUAAUUAAAUACCUUAUGAUAAAUUAUUAUUUUUAUAUUAACUUUAAGAGCAAAAAUUGGAUCAAAUUUUUUACAAAAGAUUUCUAUGGACACCAUUUGUACAUAGAAUACUUAAUAAUUUAUAUCUAAGCACUAUUUACACUAUUUGUAUAUAUUGUAUAUACACAAUUACCACCGUAAACAGAAUUUUCCAAAUUUAUAUUAAAGUAAUAGAUGAACAAUGCAAUAAUUAAAAGUUAAAUAUCCUUUAUUAACAAAUUCAUCAAUAGAGAUUGAUACAAAAAAUUUAAAUUUUUAAAGAGACUUGAAAACUGAUGAUAGGUUGAAGAGUUGCUCUGUAAUUUAGAAUAGGUAAUGUUCAUCAUUAUUUUCUAGCAUAUAACUUAUUAAUUUAAAUAAAUAAAAGUACACAGAUUUAAAUAAUUAUGUAUUUUAAUUUGGUGACCUACUUAGCUUAGUCGGGAAAAAGUCAUUCCUCAAUAUGUAAGAGUUCAAUUUUGUUAUAAUAGGUUAUGUAGUUGGUCACAUCCUUUCUAAAACAAGGAUAGCUUUUUAAAGAGAGCAUUAAAGUUAAAUAGAGAAAUAGUAAUAACAAUUAGAAUUUAUGAUAUUAGUGAUAAAUUAUUUAUAAUAUUGAAAUGUUAUAAUGAAUAUAUUACCAAAAAUCUUAUAACCAAUGGUGACACUGAAAAUUUGAGUCUGGUAGUAAGUUUAAUAUUUCAUCAAAAAACUUUUCAAUUUUUGUAAAAAUAGAUAAUUAUUAUUAAAGUACACCAAUUCAUUAAAAAAAAGUUGUUGAAAAUAUUUUUCUAGAUGUAAUUUAUAUUUUAGAUUUAAUUUUUCAUACACAAAGAAUACCUGCAAAACCGUUAUUUUAAAGUCCGUCAUAAUCUCCAUCACUCCCCACUAUACCCAAUAUAUGGUGGUGUGCCUGAAGGUAGCAAUAUUGCGCCAUUCUUGUACACAAUAUAUACAUCUGAUCUACCUUUAUCGGAUACAACAGUACUUGGUACCUAUGCUGAUGUCAGGGCCUUCAUAUUAUCUUCAUUAGAUCAUAAAGUUGACUGGCAACAGUUACAAAUAUAUCUAAAUAUGCUUUCGCUCUGGUUCAAGACCUAGCGAGUCAAAAUAAAUGAGUCGAAAUCUUCUUUCAUUACAUUCACUCUUAGAAAUCAUGACUGCCCAUCAGUUACUAUUAAUAACAUUAUUAUUCCUCACUCAACCGAGGUUAAAUAUCUAGGGUUAAUUCUUGACCGAAGGUUAACCUGGGGUCCUCAUUUAAAAGAGAAAAGGAAAAAACUGAACUCGAGACUUCAUUUACUAAGACCUUUACUUAAGUCAAAUAUUUCUUUGUCAAAUAAAAUUAUAUUGUACAAAACAUUACUCCAACCAUAGUGGUUGGACAAUCAGAGAUCUAUUGUCUUUAUAAAUGAUUUAAUCUUGUUAAUGUUACGUAAUUAAAACUCCUAAUUAUUGUACAAACUACUAUACCAUUAUAUAUUAUUAUUGUUAAUAUUAUGUAAUUAAAUUAAAUAUAAAUGUUCAAUAGCAGACGGACUCCAAUGGGAGCGACCUCACAGGCUACUAAUAUUGUAAAUUUCAUAAAUAAAAGAAAAAAAAAGAUUUAAUUUUCAUAAUAUUUUCAAUGAUUACAUUAUAUCUGAUACAUUAUUGACAAAACAACAUAAAAAUUGCCAAUAAUUAUUCAAAUGGAUAUCAUUGUUGAACUGUACAAGGAAAAUAAAGACUAUGUAAAACAAAGAAGGUUUAUACUGUUUGAAUAGCUAUUAAAACUAAAAUUAACCUACUUUCUAGGUAUUACUGGUAACUUGUAUUAUUAUGAAUUAUCCAAACAGCUCCUUUUACAAAUAAAAUGUUUUUUUUAUAAAAUAUCUUUGAUUGUACAUUUAUUAAUUGUCUACUACACUGAUAAAUUUAAGAAAAAUGUA